UCCUCAUGGAGAAAGGUAGGUCUGAAUGUCAGCUGAAGAUUGUUCGUUACCACUCCCCAAUCCCCAACUAUUCUUCUUCUUCUUCUUCCUCUCUCUCUCUCUCUCUCUCUCUCUCCAACUAUUCCUCUUCACCAUUCCAAACCACACCCAUGUCUGUUACAUCAUUGCUGUUCAGGUCACUGAUGAGGCUGCUGACAACCUUGGUGGGCGAACCGGUUUCCUCUGUAACAACGUUGCUGUACUACAGCGAUCUCCUCCCUCAGAACCUCUUGUUGCAGCGACUGGUUCGACACGAAUUGCUCGAUCAGGAGAACUAUCUGUUCCAUUUCCUCGUCAACUUCUUGAGAUGUUUUUGGUAGACGCUCUCUCCCCCGUCCCCGAUUUCUAGUCUUUAUUCGAAAGCGCCCCGAUAAAAGGAAUUUUGAAACGGUGUAGAAAAAAUUCGGAAAAUUAUUUACGAACUAUACGCAUUGUUUUUAGAUCUGAAUUUUGGCAUUGACUCUGCAGCAAUGACUAAAAAUUGGGGACAUAAUAAGGAGUAUAUAGCUAAUUGAUACAGUCAGCCGCGACUAUCAACGAUUCGACAUCCAAUGUUGGAGUGAUCGAUUUUUUCAGCUGUUGAUUGAAUCGUAGUCGAUCCGGCUCUAAUGUGCAAUAGUGCCGUUGAUUCUUGGUGAGGUUUCAGCUUAAUUUUUCAUUAGGCACUCUGAUAAUACGUUAUAUGUAUGAGGGCAGCUAGAUGUAUUGACUGGUGGACUGGAAUUAAAUUUCAGACAUUUUUUCUGAGAAAAUUCCCAUGUGUUAUUUUUUAGGUCUGUUAAUUUCGCGUUGCCAUGAAUGUCAACUGUUGUAACUGUUAAAUACGCAGCCACACAGAAUUAUAAGUUGAUUGGCUCGCAAACUGAUUUCUUUUUUUGAGCAAUUGUGUCACCAGAUGAAUUGGAGUACCAUUUUCAUUGAAAUGCUUGUGACACAGAUGUCAGGAACCUUCCGAUGCGUGUGGGUAUCACAUGCAUCGUGUGGAACUCACAAGUAUCCGAUGGUUCCGUACAUCUUUGUGCGUUGUUGUUUGCCGAUUAUAUUCUGGGUUUGACCUACCCGGUCAGGCCAUGCCGCAGGGUUCAGGGUCAGCGUCUCCGAAACCUAGACAGGGCUAUUGAGAUAAUUAGUUGUUAAUGUAAUUGGCAUUUUCCGGGUUAAGUCAAACCAUUUUGUUUAUUUGUAAUUGGGUUUUUGGGCGGUAGUUCUAGUUUUGAUCGAGUCUAGAAUUAAUCUCCACCGGUAUCUCAAUAUGUGACGAUCAAGCUUAUGCAAUGCCCGAAGUGCUUGGAACACGAAUCUGAAAGGUAUACAUGCGUACACUUCAUUUUGCAUCUAGAUUAAACAUUGUUCAUGCAUUGUAUAAUCAUUUCUGUGCCUAGAUUUCCAUCAAUUAAUGUUGUUCUAAGAAAGUUCAGUCAUUAGUCUAGUUGGGGCUGUAAGUAGUACUAGCAUGUGUGUGCUCGUUUCGCUUUGCAGCGCUUCGGAAGACUCAGGCUGUGAGAAAAGGAGAAGCGCCUCCGUGGCGCCUCAGCGCUUCUCCAGCCCUUUAAAAAGGAAAAACGCCUCCUCAGCGCCUCAGCGCUUCUCCAGCGCUGUUCUAUCCUUGAGUGGCGCCUUUGUAGCGCCCUGGCUCUUCUCCAGCGCGUUUAAACGUUUGCUUGGCGCCUCCGUGGCGCCCCGGCGCUUUUCUGGCACUUCACCUUUUUAGCUUACGUGUCUCUCUCUCAUUGGUCCAUUGUAGGGCUCCGGUUUAUAUACUAUGUAAACACAUUUUAGGGGAGGCUUUUGCAUCAGCCCACUUCUAGAGAUAGAAAACCCUUUCACUCUCAUUUACUUUAUGUUUUGAUGCAUUAGAAUGAUCUAAUCAUUUCACUUGUCAAUCUAGUGUUAUUCUCUAAUACUCCAUGAAUACACUCUAGAUUGAUUACUUUUGUCCAAAAAUCUUCAUCACACUCUCAUAUGAUAUACUUGGGCUUUUCUUACACUUGGAUGAUUUAAAUUUAGUAUUUGAUCGUCUUUAGUCAAUCUAGAGAAAUACUCUAAUAAUCAUGUAUUCUCUCUAGUUUGACUUGUUUUUCAAAAUCCUUCACAUUUUUCCACAUUAAUUGUUGCCUAUGAUACUAUUUGGCCGGAUGAUACUGGAGCAGUGAUGAGGGGAAAUCGAGGCGUUGGACUCGUGGUGGCUAUGGGAUCAAGAAGGAGCUCGGGGAGCUACAUCAAAGUGGUGGAGUUAGGUUAAGCUUUUGGGGUAAAGUUGUAAUUCCUCUCUUUGCACUUUGUAAACCUUUUGAUCUAUAUCAAUUUGAUAGUUAGGCCGUGGUUUUAUGAUUAAGGUAAGUUUACCCUAAGUAGUUUCCACGUAUAUCCUUGCAUUUGACUUCUUUAGAUUUAUUGUUUUUGACUUUAAUUGUUAAAUUGUUAGAAUAGCAUGGAACUCAGUUAAUGGAUUAAAAUUGGAGGUUGCGUGAAA